GGAUGUGAGGGCUAUCUGGCCGCGACAUCUGUCACCCCAUUGAUCACCACGCUUGAUUCGGCUGAUCUGGCUGGCUAGGCGGGUGUCCCCUUCCCCCCUCAACCCUCCAUGUGCGUCCUUCCUGAAACUGCUGGCUUGGUAGAAGAGGACGACCAUCCCGGAUAGAGGACUGUUCUUUGGUCAAGGGUAGACAAGUAGCUGCCCUCCCCUGCUAGAACCUCCAAAAAAGCUCUAAAAAAUAUUAAGCACUAACUGUUCCUCUUAAUAAACUAAUAGAAAUUAGUAGUACCAUUGUCUUAGCUG
rnacentral:snRNA from 1 species